ACGGAGGGUGCAAGCGUUGUCCGGAAUCAUUGGGCGUAAAGCGUUCGUAGGCGGCAUACCAAGUCUGGUGUUAAAGCCCGAGGCUCAACCUCGGAUCGGCACUGGAUACUGGUAAGCUAGAAUGCGGUAGAGGUGAGGGGAAUUCCUGGUGUAGCCGUGAAAUGCGUAGAUAUCAGGAGGAACAUCGGUGGCGAGAGCGCCGCACUGGGCCAUUAUUCACGCUGGGGAACGUAAGCCGCGGGAGGAAAUGG
rnacentral:rRNA from 1 species